AGCCAGUUCACCUCCUGCUGCCUAAUGAAUGCAGAACUCUGAGCUCCUCCACCACCAUGUCUGUCUGCGUGCUACCAUGUUUCCUAAGAUGAUAAUGGACUAAACCUCUGAACCUGUAAGCCAGCCCCAAUUAAAUGUUCUCCUUUGUAAGGGUUGCCGGGAUCGUGGUAUCUGUUCACAGCAAUAGAAACUCCACCCUUAGCAGGAGCAAGGAAUCCAGGUCAACUUCUGGAACUGAGCUAGCAAAAAUGCUAUUAGCUACAGCAGUGGUGACCCCUGGCUGGCCCUGGGAGUGUGAGCCUUUCAUUCGACUCUGGAGAGACCCGAGAGUACACUUCCAGCAACUCUGGACCAAGGAAUUCCAGCCUUCCCCCACCUACCAAGAUUUGUAAAAAAUAGACUUUAUCUGGACGUGGAGACAAGCCUCCCUAAGGAACCACCCAUAGGACCUAGGUGCCAAGAAUUCCCAGUAUCUUCCCGUUCAAUUCUGUCCCGUGAACUUCUUCCGGUCCCAUUUGCCAUCUUUCAUCGAAGCCGUCGCCUGGAGAAUCUGCCUGGCCAGACACAUGAUCAUCCCACAGGUGAACUCCGCAGCACUGAUGCUGUUUGCAUUGGGGGUGUUCAUGACUAAGAUGUCCUUCCUCAUGGCAGCCUCCAGAGCCACAUUGUCCACGCCUGUACUAGCCCUGCCCACCGCCUGGAGCUUCUCUGCUGCAUUGAUGACAACAGCAGUGACCUUAGUAGCUGACCGGACAAUAAUGCCUUCACAGUCCUGCAGCUCGGCUGUCAGCUCCUUCUUGCUCAAGUUCUGCUUCUCCACCACCUGCAGCCCUCCAUCUUGCAGGAUCUUCCGGCAGCAGGGCUCCAGGCUGUCACUGAUGAGUACUUUGCUCAGAUUUGCAAAGGCCAUUGCUAGAGUCAAGCCUUAGAAUCAGUUGCUCUGGGUGGGCAGAAGCACUUAGUUCAAAAACUGCAGGCAAGGGCUGGCUCUGGUGACUGGGCAGGAAUUUUCUUUUGUUUUUUAAGACAGAUUUAUUUAUUAUUAUAUGUAAGUACACUGUAGCUGUCUUCAGACACACCAGAAGAGGCCAUCAGAUCUCAUUAUGGAUGGUUGUAAGCCACCAUGUGGUUGCUGGGAUUUGAACUCAGGACCUUCAGAAGAGCAGUCAAUGCUCUUAACCGCUGAGCCAUCUUGCCAGCCCCCAGAGAUUUUCUUUUUAAGCUCUAAUAAAUUGUCCUUGUGUUUCCAUCUGGGUUCACACACACACACACACACACACACACACACACACACACCCGAGACAGGGUUUCUCUGAAUAGCCCUGGCUGUCCUGGAACUCACUUUGUAGACCAGGCUGGUCUUGAACUCGGAAAUCCACCUACCUCUGCCUCCCAAGUGCUGGGAUUAAAGGUGUGUGUCACCAUCGCCUGGCAAUUAGGUCUUUUCUUAAUUCUUUUUUUUUUUAAGAGAUUAGCUAUUUUAUGUAUGUAUGUAUGUAUGUAUCUAUGAUGUAUGUAUGUAUUUUAUGUAUUGUAUGUACAUGAGUGUUCAUGAACACCAGAAGAGGUCAUCAGAUCCCAUUAUUGGUGGUUGUGAGCCACUGUGUAGUUGCUGGGAAUUGAACUCAGGACCUCUGGAAGAGCAGUCAGUGCUAUUAAAGGCUGAGGCACCUCUCUAGGCCCUUCUUAAUUCUUUUAUUAAUGAAACUAAGGGCUUCAUGAGGGGACCCUGAUUUCCCCUUCCCUGGAUCACAUGAUAGCUCUGCUGAGACCUCAAGAGACCUGGUAGUGGGUCUGCUCUGCCUUUAAAUUCUUUAAAUCAGCAGAGAAAAUGAACCUGUGUCAUCUUCAUCGCUAGAUGGUAACACACACACACACACACAUACACAGAGACAGAGACAGAGAGAGGCCACAGCAGGAGUGAGGAACUUCAGGGCCAUUCCCAGCCACUGAAUGAAAAUGAGGACCUGAGGACCUGACUGUUCCUUAAUGUGGUUGAAGAGAAGGUUUUAUAGCAGAUAUCAGGGAGAGCACAGCCAGAAGCAUCCAGACUAAACAGGGCCAUGGGGCUCGGGGGAGGAAUAGAAGGAAGGAUAGAGGGGACAGGGAGAGCCCAUGGGAACCGAGAGAGCUUGUGGACCAGGGGAGAGUUAUAUAGGAAGAGUUAUAUAGGAAGCUGGAGAAAGAGAAGGUAAGCCCGGGCCCUGGGCUGGAGAGGUUUAGGGGUGUGGGAGGGGUGGGAGGUGCUGGGAGGAGCCACAGGGAUUGUGGGAGACUUGCCCUGGGUUUCUUUGGGACCUGACAUUUUAAGUUGAAAGCCAGCCUUGACAACAUAAGAAUUACAUAAGACCCUGUCUCAAAAAUGAAAUGAAAUAAAGCCCAAGAGACACAAGGAGUCUAAGAGACCCUGAGAGGAGCCAAAAAAGACCAACAUGGUGAAAGACAGGAUCAGAGACACUAGAGAAGAGGGAAGGACAGACAGCAGGGAAGGACAGGCGAGGUACACAGGCAGGGACAGUAUAAGAAUGAAGAAGAUUGACAGCCAUGAAGCUAGUGAGAAUCAGGAACUUUUAGAGGUGGGAGAGAUGGAGGGACCUAAUUCAGGAAGAAUUUCAAGGAACUAGAGGCACCAGGGCAUCGGAGACCCUGACUAUCCCCAAAUAGACACUUGUCACAGAGGCCGGUCCUGUCUCUCAACAGCAGGAGCCAAGCCAAGUUUGGCUCACAGCCUCUCCUUCAGUCAGAGAUCCAGUACCCUCCAUCCGAAGUGGCACUCACAUACACACACCCCCACACAGACAUACACGUAUACAAUUAUUUAAACAACCCAGAAUCCCUUGGGGGACAGCCUCAGACGUGUUCUGUUCUCCCCACCCCUGGAGUCUGAAACCUGGCUCCCGCAUGGUUCUCAGGAUUCAGACGCCAGAGUCGGGUCCCCUCACAAAGAAGUAGGCCUUGGGGUGGGGUAGUCUGAGGGUGAUGGGCUUAUGUGGGGUGCUUGACCCACCCCGGAGGUUCUGGCACCUCUCUCAGAGACAGGAUCCUUCUUCCAGCCACCAGAGAUCCCCUCCCCGCGUCUCCUUUUCAAAGGCACUCAACAUUAAUCGCUGAGGUUGACUCUGUGCCUAGCCCGGCCUUGCUAAAGAGGCUUUUGUCCCCUUAAUUGGCUAUCUCUAAGAGCCUAUCUCCGCCUCAGCACCCACGCGCCCCUGCUUUAUAUCCCAGGCCCAACUAUGUGUUAAUUGGGCAUGUAAGAGAUGUGCGGAACACCCCCUCCCCUCCCUGCCCCUUGCCUUCCUAUAUGAGCCUCUCACCUGCAGUCAUCAGAGUCCAGCAUCUGCAGUGGGACAGGCACAUCGGGAGGGCUUACCUUAAUUACCAGGGUGGUUUCCCAUUCUGUAACACCAG
rnacentral:lncRNA from 1 species